rnacentral:rRNA from 1 species
UACGUAGGGUGCAAGCGUUGUCCGGAAUUAUUGGGCGUAAAGAGCUCGUAGGCGGGUCUGUCGCGUCUGCUGUGAAAACUCGGGGCUUAACCCCGGGCCUGCAGUGGGUACGGGGCAGACUAGAGUGCGGUAGGGGGAGACUGGAAUUCCUGGUGUAGCGGUGAAAUGCGCAGAUAUCAGGAGGAACACCGGUGGCCGAAGGCGGGUCUCUGGGACGGUACUGACGCUGAGACGCGAAAGCGUGGGGAGCGAACAGG